AGGGAAUCCUUGCUGGGGAGUUUGACUAUGGGGACUCACUGGAUUCAGAUAGUGACCCUGGAGAGGUGUACUAUGCUGACAAUGAACCCAUUCACGCCCGGAGGUCGUUUUUAAAGGGGAGGGUACUGUCACGGUUCUCACCUGAUAGACAGACGGCAAGACGUGGUCGCUCUUGGAGUUCCCAACAGGGGACUUGAACCGGGGAUCUUCUCAGUCCUGGUCCUGCUUUCUACCUCUGAGCCACAGCAGCUAUUUACAGUGAAGACUGAUUCCAAUCCUGUUCAUCCUGACAUGGCUACUACUCUGGGGGCUGCACCUUGACUUGGCUGUGUUUCACCUGACUCUGAU